GGCUUUGCUUCUGGAGAGAACAGGCAUGCCCAUGGGUGUCUCGAAUUCCUGCCAUUACGGCGCCUCUGUCUGGGGUAAAGGAUGAUGUGCUGGUGUGGAACCAGGAAGUGGUAACUCCUUGAACCUCAUCACUCCUUCACACCUUCCGUGUGACUCAUUUUGAUGAAAUUCAACGAACUCCGAGCACCUGCUCACGGAGUAGAGUCUUUUUUAGCUAGAAAGCUCCACAGCUCCCCUCCCCCAAGAUUCGGGAACCCAGGCCGUGAAGAGGCUCAGCAGAGUGACCAGUGGACCUCAGGGGACAGUGCCCCUUCCCGGCCACCCCUGACUGUGCCAGUGCCCUCAUCCCUUUGCUGGGUGCAGUGGGGACUGGCUUUCCAGGGGCUCACAGCCCUUCACCUCUAGUCCUACCAAGUGUCUACAUGGAUCCAAGAAGCUACACUGGCCAGUAGAAUCAGAGGAAUAAUAGUUUUAUGGACACCUGAGACUGAUGGAGAGGAAGAGGGGCCC
rnacentral:lncRNA from 1 species